rnacentral:lncRNA from 1 species
UUACUAUAUGUCAAAUUUCUUAGUUUUAUUUCUUACUUACUUUUGAUACAACUAAAUUAAUUCUUAUUCUUAUUGAAUUUUGUAUCUCAUAUUCAAAUUGAUAAUAUAUUAUGAAAAAUAUCACAUUAUAACAAGAUUUCAAUGUCAAAUUUAUUUUCUUUAAUUACCAAAUGUUCUCCCCCUUUCUUUUGCAAACAAAGCCAUUCAAAAUCAAGUAAAAUUUAUCAACUAAGCAAAUACCAAACACACAUAAUAUUUACUCAAGUAAGCACCAAAU